AUCCGACAUACCGUGCGUUCUCCUCCCCUUUAUGCCCGCGCCUCCGUGUACGGCCCGCCCAUAGCUCCUUCGACGGCGCCGCCUAGGAACGCGGAGAAAAUAUGACAAAGGAACGGCCAAAAACAAAAAGAAAGACCUUUCUUUUGAAAAAACAAACAAAAAAAAGGAAUGCAACACGAGGACUUCCCAGGAGGUCACCCAUCCUAGUACUACUCUCGCCCAAGCACGCUUAACUUCGGAGUUCUGAUGGGAUCCGGUGCUUUAGUGCUGGUAUGAUCGCAUCCGACAUACCGUGCGUUCUCCUCCCCUUUAUGCCCGCGCCUCCGUGUACGGCCCGCCCAUAGCUCCUUCGACGGCGCCGCCUAGGAACGCGGAGAAAAUAUGACAAAGGAACGGCCAAAAAUAAAAAGAAAGACCUUUCUUUUGAAAAAACAAACAAAUAAAAGGAAUGCAACACGAGGACUUCCCAGGAGGUCACCCAUCCUAGUACUACUCUCGCCCAAGCACGCUUAACUUCGGAGUUCUGAUGGGAUCCGGUGCUUUAGUGCUGGUAUGAUCGCAUCCGACAUACCGUGCGUUCUCCUCCCCUUUAUGCCCGCGCCUCCGUGUACGGCCCGCCCAUAGCUCCUUCGACGGCGCCGCCUAGGAACGCGGAGAAAAUAUGACAAAGGAACGGCCAAAAAUAAAAAGAAAGACCUUUCUUUUGAAAAAACAAACAAAUAAAAGGAAUGCAACACGAGGACUUCCCAGGAGAUCACCCAUCCUAGUACUACUCUCGCCCAAGCACGCUUAACUUCGGAGUUCUGAUGGGAUCCGGUGCUUUAGUGCUGGUAUGAUCGCAUCCGACAUACCGUGCGUUCUCCUCCCCUUUAUGCCCGCGCCUCCGUGUACGGCCCGCCCAUAGCUCCUUCGACGGCGCCGCCUAGGAACGCGGAGAAAAUAUGACAAAGGAACGGCCAAAAAUAAAAAGAAAGACCUUUCUUUUGAAAAAACAAACAAAAAAAAGGAAUGCAACACGAGGACUUCCCACGAGGUCACCCAUCCUAGUACUACUCUAGUACCAAGCACGCUUAACUUCGGAGUUCUGAUGGGAUCCGGUGCUUUAGUGCUGGUAUGAUCGCAUCCGACAUACCGUGCGUUCUCCUCCCCUUUAUGCCCGCGCCUCCGUGUACGGCCCGCCCAUAGCUCCUUCGACGGCGCCGCCUAGGAACGCGGAGAAAAUAUGACAAAGGAACGGCCAAAAAUAAAAAGAAAGACCUUUCUUUUGAAAAAACAAACAAAAAAAAGGAAUGCAACACGAGGACUUCCCAGGAGGUCACCCAUCCUAGUACUACUCUCGCCCAAGCACGCUUAACUUCGGAGUUCUGAUGGGAUCCGGUGCUUUAGUGCUGGUAUGAUCGCAUCCGACAUACCGUGCGUUCUCCUCCCCUUUAUGCCCGCGCCUCCGUGUACGGCCCGCCCAUAGCUCCUUCGACGGCGCCGCCUAGGAACGCGGAGAAAAUAUGACAAAGGAACGGCCAAAAAUAAAAAGAAAGACCUUUCUUUUGAAAAAACAAACAAAUAAAAGGAAUGCAACACGAGGACUUCCCAGGAGGUCACCCAUCCUAGUACUACUCUCGCCCAAGCACGCUUAACUUCGGAGUUCUGAUGGGAUCCGGUGCUUUAGUGCUGGUAUGAUCGCAUCCGACAUACCGUGCGUUCUCCUCCCCUUUAUGCCCGCGCCUCCGUGUACGGCCCGCCCAUAGCUCCUUCGACGGCGCCGCCUAGGAACGCGGAGAAAAUAUGACAAAGGAACGGCCAAAAAUAAAAAGAAAGACCUUUCUUUUGAAAAAACAAACAAAAAAAAGGAAUGCAACACGAGGACUUCCCAGGAGGUCACCCAUCCUAGUACUACUCUCGCCCAAGCACGCUUAACUUCGGAGUUCUGAUGGGAUCCGGUGCUUUAGUGCUGGUAUGAUCGCAUCCGACAUACCGUGCGUUCUCCUCCCCUUUAUGCCCGCGCCUCCGUGUACGGCCCGCCCAUAGCUCCUUCGACGGCGCCGCCUAGGAACGCGGAGAAAAUAUGACAAAGGAACGGCCAAAAAUAAAAAGAAAGACCUUUCUUUUGAAAAAACAAACAAAAAAAAGGAAUGCAACACGAGGACUUCCCAGGAGGUCACCCAUCCUAGUACUACUCUCGCCCAAGCACGCUUAACUUCGGAGUUCUGAUGGGAUCCGGUGCUUUAGUGCUGGUAUGAUCGCAUCCGACAUACCGUGCGUUCUCCUCCCCUUUAUGCCCGCGCCUCCGUGUACGGCCCGCCCAUAGCUCCUUCGACGGCGCCGCCUAGGAACGCGGAGAAAAUAUGACAAAGGAACGGCCAAAAAUAAAAAGAAAGACCUUUCUUUUGAAAAAACAAACAAAUAAAAGGAAUGCAACACAAGGACUUCCCAGGAGGUCACCCAUCCUAGUACUACUCUCGCCCAAGCACGCUUAACUUCGGAGUUCUGAUGGGAUCCGGUGCUUUAGUGCUGGUAUGAUCGCAUCCGACAUACCGUGCGUUCUCCUCCCCUUUAUGCCCGCGCCUCCGUGUACGGCCCGCCCAUAGCUCCUUCGACGGCGCCGCCUAGGAACGCGGAGAAAAUAUGACAAAGGAACGGCCAAAAAUAAAAAGAAAGACCUUUCUUUUGAAAAAACAAACGCCUCCGUGUACGGCCCGCCCAUAGCUCCUUCGACGGCGCCGCCUAGGAACGCGGAGAAAAUAUGACAAAGGAACGGCCAAAAAUAAAAAGAAAGACCUUUCUUUUGAAAAAACAAACAAAAAAAAGGAAUGCAACACGAGGACUUCCCAGGAGGUCACCCAUCCUAGUACUACUCUCGCCCAAGCACGCUUAACUUCGGAGUUCUGAUGGGAUCCGGUGCUUUAGUGCUGGUAUGAUCGCAUCCGACAUACCGUGCGUUCUCCUCCCCUUUAUGCCCGCGCCUCCGUGUACGGCCCGCCCAUAGCUCCUUCGACGGCGCCGCCUAGGAACGCGGAGAAAAUAUGACAAAGGAACGGCCAAAAAUAAAAAGAAAGACCUUUCUUUUGAAAAAACAAACGCCUCCGUGUACGGCCCGCCCAUAGCUCCUUCGACGGCGCCGCCUAGGAACGCGGAGAAAAUAUGACAAAGGAACGGCCAAAAAUAAAAAGAAAGACCUUUCUUUUGAAAAAACAAACAAAAAAAAGGAAUGCAACACGAGGACUUCCCAGGAGGUCACCCAUCCUAGUACUACUCUCGCCCAAGCACGCUUAACUUCGGAGUUCUGAUGGGAUCCGGUGCUUUAGUGCUGGUAUGAUCGCAUCCGACAUACCGUGCGUUCUCCUCCCCUUUAUGCCCGCGCCUCCGUGUACGGCCCGCCCAUAGCUCCUUCGACGGCGCCGCCUAGGAACGCGGAGAAAAUAUGACAAAGGAACGGCCAAAAAUAAAAAGAAAGACCUUUCUUUUGAAAAAACAAACAAAUAAAAGGAAUGCAACACGAGGACUUCCCAGGAGGUCACCCAUCCUAGUACUACUCUCGCCCAAGCACGCUUAACUUCGGAGUUCUGAUGGGAUCCGGUGCUUUAGUGCUGGUAUGAUCGCAUCCGACAUACCGUGCGUUCUCCUCCCCUUUAUGCCCGCGCCUCCGUGUACGGCCCGCCCAUAGCUCCUUCGACGGCGCCGCCUAGGAACGCGGAGAAAAUAUGACAAAGGAACGGCCAAAAAUAAAAAGAAAGACCUUUCUUUUGAAAAAACAAACAAAAAAAAAGGAAUGCAACACGAGGACUUCCCAGGAGGUCACCCAUCCUAGUACUACUCUCGCCCAAGCACGCUUAACUUCGGAGUUCUGAUGGGAUCCGGUGCUUUAGUGCUGGUAUGAUCGCAUCCGACAUACCGUGCGUUCUCCUCCCCUUUAUGCCCGCGCCUCCGUGUACGGCCCGCCCAUAGCUCCUUCGACGGCGCCGCCUAGGAACGCGGAGAAAAUAUGACAAAGGAACGGCCAAAAAUAAAAAGAAAGACCUUUCUUUUGAAAAAACAAACAAAAAAAAGGAAUGCAACACGAGGACUUCCCAGGAGGUCACCCAUCCUAGUACUACUCUCGCCCAAGCACGCUUAACUUCGGAGUUCUGAUGGGAUCCGGUGCUUUAGUGCUGGUAUGAUCGCAUCCGACAUACCGUGCGUUCUCCUCCCCUUUAUGCCCGCGCCUCCGUGUACGGCCCGCCCAUAGCUCCUUCGACGGCGCCGCCUAGGAACGCGGAGAAAAUAUGACAAAGGAACGGCCAAAAAUAAAAAGAAAGACCUUUCUUUUGAAAAAACAAACAAAAAAAAGGAAUGCAACACGAGGACUUCCCAGGAGGUCACCCAUCCUAGUACUACUCUCGCCCAAGCACGCUUAACUUCGGAGUUCUGAUGGGAUCCGGUGCUCUAGUGCUGGUAUGAUCGCAUCCGACAUACCGUGCGUUCUCCUCCCCUUUAUGCCCGCGCCUCCGUGUACGGCCCGCCCAUAGCUCCUUCGACGGCGCCGCCUAGGAACGCGGAGAAAAUAUGACAAAGGAACGGCCAAAAAUAAAAAGAAAGACCUUUCUUUUGAAAAAACAAACAAAAAAAAAGGAAUGCAACACGAGGACUUCCCAGGAGGUCACCCAUCCUAGUACUACUCUCGCCCAAGCACGCUUAACUUCGGAGUUCUGAUGGGAUCCGGUGCUUUAGUGCUGGUAUGAUCGCAUCCGACAUACCGUGCGUUCUCCUCCCCUUUAUGCCCGCGCCUCCGUGUACGGCCCGCCCAUAGCUCCUUCGACGGCGCCGCCUAGGAACGCGGAGAAAAUAUGACAAAGGAACGGCCAAAAAUAAAAAGAAAGACCUUUCUUUUGAAAAAACAAACAAAUAAAAGGAAUGCAACACGAGGACUUCCUAGGAGGUCACCCAUCCUAGUACUACUCUCGCCCAAGCACGCUUAACUUCGGAGUUCUAAUGGGAUCCGGUGCUUUAGUGCUGGUAUGAUCGCAUCCGACAUACCGUGCGUUCUCCUCCCCUUUAUGCCCGCGCCUCCGUGUACGGCCCGCCCAUAGCUCCUUCGACGGCGCCGCCUAGGAACGCGGAGAAAAUAUGACAAAGGAACGGCCAAAAAUAAAAAGAAAGACCUUUCUUUUGAAAAAACAAACAAAAAAAAGGAAUGCAACACGAGGACUUCCCAGGAGGUCACCCAUCCUAGUACUACUCUCGCCCAAGCACGCUUAACUUCGGAGUUCUGAUGGGAUCCGGUGCUUUAGUGCUGGUAUGAUCGCAUCCGACAUACCGUGCGUUCUCCUCCCCUUUAUGCCCGCGCCUCCGUGUACGGCCCGCCCAUAGCUCCUUCGACGGCGCCGCCUAGGAACGCGGAGAAAAUAUGACAAAGGAACGGCCAAAAAUAAAAAGAAAGACCUUUCUUUUGAAAAAACAAACAAAAAAAAGGAAUGCAACACGAGGACUUCCCAGGAGGUCACCCAUCCUAGUACUACUCUCGCCCAAGCACGCUUAACUUCGGAGUUCUGAUGGGAUCCGGUGCUUUAGUGCUGGUAUGAUCGCAUCCGACAUACCGUGCGUUCUCCUCCCCUUUAUGCCCGCGCCUCCGUGUACGGCCCGCCCAUAGCUCCUUCGACGGCGCCGCCUAGGAACGCGGAGAAAAUAUGACAAAGGAACGGCCAAAAAUAAAAAGAAAGACCUUUCUUUUGAAAAAACAAACAAAAAAAAGGAAUGCAACACGAGGACUUCCCAGGAGGUCACCCAUCCUAGUACUACUCUCGCCCAAGCACGCUUAACUUCGGAGUUCUGAUGGGAUCCGGUGCUUUAGUGCUGGUAUGAUCGAAUCCGACAUACCGUGCGUUCUCCUCCCCUUUAUGCCCGCGCCUCCGUGUACGGUCCGCCCAUAGCUCCUUCGACGGCGCCGCCUAGGAACGCGGAGAAAAUAUGACAAAGGAACGGCCAAAAAUAAAAAGAAAGACCUUUCUUUUGAAAAAACAAACAAAUAAAAGGAAUGCAACACGAGGACUUCCCAGGAGGUCACCCAUCCUAGUACUACUCUCGCCCAAGCACGCUUAACUUCGGAGUUCUGAUGGGAUCCGGUGCUUUAGUGCUGGUAUGAUCGCAUCCGACAUACCGUGCGUUCUCCUCCCCUUUAUGCCCGCGCCUCCGUGUACGGCCCGCCCAUAGCUCCUUCGACGGCGCCGCCUAGGAACGCGGAGAAAAUAUGACAAAGGAACGGCCAAAAAUAAAAAGAAAGACCUUUCUUUUGAAAAAACAAACAAAUAAAAGGAAUGCAACACGAGGACUUCCCAGGAGGUCACCCAUCCUAGUACUACUCUCGCCCAAGCACGCUUAACUUCGGAGUUCUGAUGGGAUCCGGUGCUUUAGUGCUGGUAUGAUCGCAUCCGACAUACCGUGCGUUCUCCUCCCCUUUAUGCCCGCGCCUCCGUGUACGGCCCGCCCAUAGCUCCUUCGACGGCGCCGCCUAGGAACGCGGAGAAAAUAUGACAAAGGAACGGCCAAAAAUAAAAAGAAAGACCUUUCUUUUGAAAAAACAAACAAAAAAAAGGAAUGCAGCACCAGGACUUCCCGGAAGGUCACCCAUCCAAAUACAACUCUCGCCGAACCACGUUUAACUUCGAAUUUCUAAUGGAAUCCGGGGCUUUAGAGCUGGAAUGAUCGCAUCCGACAUACCGUGCGUUCUCCUCCCCUUUAUGCCCGCGCCUCCGUGUACGGCCCGCCCAUAGCUCCUUCGACGGCGCCGCCUAGGAACGCGGAGAAAAUAUGACAAAGGAGCGGCCAAAAAUAAAAAGAAAGACCUUUCUUUUGAAAAAACAAACAAAUAAAAGGAAUGCAACACGAGGACUUCCUAGGAGGUCACCCAUCCUAGUACUACUCUCGCCCAAGCACGCUUAACUUCGGAGUUCUGAUGGGAUCCGGUGCUUUAGUGCUGGUAUGAUCGCAUCCGACAUACCGUGCGUUCUCCUCCCCUUUAUGCCCGCGCCUCCGUGUACGGCCCGCCCAUAGCUCCUUCGACGGCGCCGCCUAGGAACGCGGAGAAAAUAUGACAAAGGAACGGCCAAAAAUAAAAAGAAAGACCUUUCUUUUGAAAAAACAAACGCCUCCGUGUACGGCCCGCCCAUAGCUCCUUCGACGGCGCCGCCUAGGAACGCGGAGAAAAUAUGACAAAGGAACGGCCAAAAAUAAAAAGAAAGACCUUUCUUUUGAAAAAACAAACAAAAAAAAGGAAUGCAACACGAGGACUUCCCAGGAGGUCACCCAUCCUAGUACUACUCUCGCCCAAGCACGCUUAACUUCGGAGUUCUGAUGGGAUCCGGUGCUUUAGUGCUGGUAUGAUCGCAUCCGACAUACCGUGCGUUCUCCUCCCCUUUAUGCCCGCGCCUCCGUGUACGGCCCGCCCAUAGCUCCUUCGACGGCGCCGCCUAGGAACGCGGAGAAAAUAUGACAAAGGAACGGCCAAAAAUAAAAAGAAAGACCUUUCUUUUGAAAAAACAAACAAAUAAAAGGAAUGCAACACGAGGACUUCCCAGGAGGUCACCCAUCCUAGUACUACUCUCGCCCAAGCACGCUUAACUUCGGAGUUCUGAUGGGAUCCGGUGCUUUAGUGCUGGUAUGAUCGCAUUCGACAUACCGAUGCGUUCUCAUCCCCGUUAUGCGCCGCGCCUCUGUGUACGGCCCGCCCAUAGCUCCUUUGACUGCGCCUCGUAGGAUCGCGGAGAAUAUAUGACAAAGGCACGGCCAAACAUAAAACGAAAGACCUCUCUUUUGCAACAACAAACAAAAUAAAGGAAUGCAACACGAGGACUUCCCAGGAGGUCACCCAUCCUAGUACUAGUCUCGCUCAAGCACGCUGAUCUUCGGAGUUCUGAUGGGAUCCGGUGCUUUAGUGCUGGUAUGAUCGCAUCCGACAUACCGUGCGUUCUCCUCCCCUUUAUGCCCGCGCCUCCGUGUACGGCCCGCCCAUAGCUCCUUCGACGGCGCCGCCUAGGAACGCGGAGAAAAUAUGACAAAGGAACGGCCAAAAAUAAAAAGAAAGACCUUUCUUUUGAAAAAACAAACAAAAAAAAGGAAUGCAACACGAGGACUUCCCAGGAGGUCACCCAUCCUAGUACUACUCUCGCCCAAGCACGCUUAACUUCGGAGUUCUGAUGGGAUCCGGUGCUUUAGUGCUGGUAUGAUCGCAUCCGACAUACCGUGCGUUCUCCUCCCCUUUAUGCCCGCGCCUCCGUGUACGGCCCGCCCAUAGCUCCUUCGACGGCGCCGCCUAGGAACGCGGAGAAAAUAUGACAAAGGAACGGCCAAAAAUAAAAAGAAAGACCUUUCUUUUGAAAAAACAAACAAAUAAAAGGAAUGCAACACGAGGACUUCCCAGGAGGUCACCCAUCCUAGUACUACUCUCGCCCAAGCACGCUUAACUUCGGAGUUCUGAUGGGAUCCGGUGCUUUAGUGCUGGUAUGAUCGCAUCCGACAUACCGUGCGUUCUCCUCCCCUUUAUGCCCGCGCCUCCGUGUACGGCCCGCCCAUAGCUCCUUCGACGAGCCCGCCUAGGAACGCGGAGAAAAUAUGACAAAGGAACGGCCAAAAAUAAAAAGAAAGACCUUUCUUUUGAAAAAACAAACAAAUAAAAGGAAUGCAACACGAGGACUUCCCAGGAGGUCACCCAUCCUAGUACUACUCUCGCCCAAGCACGCUUAACUUCGGAGUUCUGAUGGGAUCCGGUGCUUUAGUGCUGGUAUGAUCGCAUCCGACAUACCGUGCGUUCUCCUCCCCUUUAUGCCCGCGCCUCCGUGUACGGCCCGCCCAUAGCUCCUUCGACGGCGCCGCCUAGGAACGCGGAGAAAAUAUGACAAAGGAACGGCCAAAAAUAAAAAGAAAGACCUUUCUUUUGAAAAAACAAACAAAAAAAAGGAAUGCAACACGAGGACUUCCCAGGAGGUCACCCAUCCUAGUACUACUCUCGCCCAAGCACGCUUAACUUCGGAGUUCUGAUGGGAUCCGGUGCUUUAGUGCUGGUAUGAUCGCAUCCGACAUACCGUGCGUUCUCCUCCCCUUUAUGCCCGCGCCUCCGUGUACGGCCCGCCCAUAGCUCCUUCGACGGCGCCGCCUAGGAACGCGGAGAAAAUAUGACAAAGGAACGGCCAAAAAUAAAAAGAAAGACCUUUCUUUUGAAAAAACAAACAAAUAAAAGGAAUGCAACACGAGGACUUCCCAGGAGGUCACCCAUCCUAGUACUACUCUCGCCCAAGCACGCUUAACUUCGGAGUUCUGAUGGGAUCCGGUGCUUUAGUGCUGGUAUGAUCGCAUCCGACAUACCGUGCGUUCUCCUCCCCUUUAUGCCCGCGCCUCCGUGUACGGCCCGCCCAUAGCUCCUUCGACGGCGCCGCCUAGGAACGCGGAGAAAAUAUGACAAAGGAACGGCCAAAAAUAAAAAGAAAGACCUUUCUUUUGAAAAAACAAACAAAUAAAAGGAAUGCAACACGAGGACUUCCCAGGAGGUCACCCAUCCUAGUACUACUCUCGCCCAAGCACGCUUAACUUCGGAGUUCUGAUGGGAUCCGGUGCUUUAGUGCUGGUAUGAUCGCAUCCGACAUACCGUGCGUUCUCCUCCCCUUUAUGCCCGCGCCUCCGUGUACGGUCCGCCCAUAGCUCUUUAGUUGGCGCCUCCUAGGAACGCGGAGAAAAUAUGACAAAGGAACGGCCAAAAAUAAAAAGAAAGACCUUUCUUUUGAAAAAACAAACGCCUCCGUGUACGGCCCGCCCAUAGCUCCUUCGACGGCGCCGCCUAGGAACGCGGAGAAAAUAUGACAAAGGAACGGCCAAAAAUAAAAAGAAAGACCUUUCUUUUGAAAAAACAAACAAAAAAAAGGAAUGCAACACGAGGACUUCCCAGGAGGUCACCCAUCCUAGUACUACUCUCGCCCAAGCACGCUUAACUUCGGAGUUCUGAUGGGAUCCGGUGCUUUAGUGCUGGUAUGAUCGCAUCCGACAUACCGUGCGUUCUCCUCCCCUUUAUGCCCGCGCCUCCGUGUACGGCCCGCCCAUAGCUCCUUCGACGGCGCCGCCUAGGAACGCGGAGAAAAUAUGACAAAGGAACGGCCAAAAAUAAAAAGAAAGACCUUUCUUUUGAAAAAACAAACAAAUAAAAGGAAUGCAACACGAGGAGUUCCCAGGAGGUCACCCAUCCUAGUACUACUCUCGCCCAAGCACGCUUAACUUCGGAGUUCUGAUGGGAUCCGGUGCUUUAGUGCUGGUAUGAUCGCAUCCGACAUACCGUGCGUUCUCCUCCCCUUUAUGCCCGCGCCUCCGUGUACGGCCCGCCCAUAGCUCCUUCGAUGGCGCCGCCUAGGAACGCGGAGAAAAUAUGACAAAGGAACGGCCAAAAAUAAAAAGAAAGACCUUUCUUUUGAAAAAACAAACGCCUCCGUGUACGGCCCGCCCAUAGCUCCUUCGACGGCGCCGCCUAGGAACGCGGAGAAAAUAUGACAAAGGAACGGCCAAAAAUAAAAAGAAAGACCUUUCUUUUGAAAAAACAAACAAAAAAAAGGAAUGCAACACGAGGACUUCCCAGGAGGUCACCCAUCCUAGUACUACUCUCGCCCAAGCACGCUUAACUUCGGAGUUCGGAUGGGAUCCGGUGCUUUAGUGCUGGUAUGAUCGCAUCCGACAUACCGUGCGUUCUCCUCCCCUUUAUGCCCGCGCCUCCGUGUACGGCCCGCCCAUAGCUCCUUCGACGGCGCCGCCUAGGAACGCGGAGAAAAUAUGACAAAGGAACGGCCAAAAAUAAAAAGAAAGACCUUUCUUUUGAAAAAACAAACAAAUAAAAGGAAUGCAACACGAGGACUUCCCAGGAGGUCACCCAUCCUAGUACUACUCUCGCCCAAGCACGCUUAACUUCGGAGUUCUGAUGGGAUCCGGUGCUUUAGUGCUGGUAUGAUCGCAUCCGACAUACCGUGCGUUCUCCUCCCCUUUAUGCCCGCGCCUCCGUGUACGGCCCGCCCAUAGCUCCUUCGACGGCGCCGCCUAGGAACGCGGAGAAAAUAUGACAAAGGAACGGCCAAAAAUAAAAAGAAAGACCUUUCUUUUGAAAAAACAAACAAAAAAAAGGAAUGCAACACGAGGACUUCCCAGGAGGUCACCCAUCCUAGUACUACUCUCGCCCAAGCACGCUUAACUUCGCAGUUCUGAUGGGAUCCGGUGCUUUAGUGCUGGUAUGAUCGCAUCCGACAUACCGUGCGUUCUCCUCCCCUUUAUGCCCGCGCCUCCGUGUACGGCCCGCCCAUAGCUCCUUCGACGGCGCCGCCUAGGAACGCGGAGAAAAUAUGACAAAGGAACGGCCAAAAAUAAAAAGAAAGACCUUUCUUUUGAAAAAACAAACGGCUCCGUGUACGGCCCGCCCAUAGCUCCUUCGACGGCGCCGCCUAGGAACGCGGAGAAAAUAUGACAAAGGAACGGCCAAAAAUAAAAAGAAAGACCUUUCUUUUGAAAAAACAAACAAAAAAAAGGAAUGCAACACGAGGACUUCCCAGGAGGUCACCCAUCCUAGUACUACUCUCGCCCAAGCACGCUUAACUUCGGAGUUCUGAUGGGAUCCGGUGCUUUAGUGCUGGUAUGAUCGCAUCCGACAUACCGUGCGUUCUCCUCCCCUUUAUGCCCGCGCCUCCGUGUACGGCCCGCCCAUAGCUCCUUCGACGGCGCCGCCUAGGAACGCGGAGAAAAUAUGACAAAGGAACGGCCAAAAAUAAAAAGAAAGACCUUUCUUUUGAAAAAACAAACAAAUAAAAGGAAUGCAACACGAGGACUUCCCAGGAGGUCACCCAUCCUAGUACUACUCUCGCCCAAGCACGCUUAACUUCGGAGUUCUGAUGGGAUCCGGUGCUUUAGUGCUGGUAUGAUCGCAUCCGACAUACCGUGUGUCGACGAAAGCUGGUCGGCAGUCUACCUUGGGGUAUACCCACGGUAGUAGUUUAUCGGUAGACGGUGCGCAAACUACGAACUCGAUGGUGACGCAAGACACGGACAAGCUUUUUAUCCAGGUUCGGCCGCCGAGUUGGCGUAAUACCUACGUCCUGCGUCUGGUUGUAUUGGAUUGUGUUUAGAGAUAAUCUACCCUAGGGGGUCCCCUUGCCCCUCCUUAUAUAGUCUGGAGGGCAGGGUUACAGAUCUAGAAACUAAUCCUAGCCGGUUACAAUUGCCAUAGAUAAUUCGAUAUCAAUUCCUAUUCUAACCGACUAGAAUCCUGCUUGAUCUCCACGUCCUGUUUCCUUGCGCGAAACUCGGGCUAUCGGAUCAAGCCUUGAACUCGUCUCGUAGUGGGCCAAGCUUCCUAGCUGAAGUCUAGCCGUAAGGGUAUAGGGGUUUAUACCCCCACAGCUAGUCCCCGAGCGCCAUGUAUUGUGACGCAACACUCCGUCUUGAGCUUCUUCGAUCAGCGUGGUCUGUCGUCUUCAAUGAGCGGGGAAAUCGCCCAAACGGUUCAUUGAUCAACGUUGUCAUCGAAGAAGCAGGUUGUUCGAAGAAUGCAUGGUGCUCUAAAAAAAAUUUCUUUCCUGGUGAAGUGUGCCCACUUUGCCUUUCUGAAAGGUAGAAGCAACAAAAAAGCAAGCAAAUUCACCGCUAGGUGAAGUGUGCCCACUUAGUCCCCGAGCCUGGUAGUAGGUGUCGUAGGCACGUGGUGCCAGGGUCAAAAGAAAAUUCCCCAAAGUAGUUUUGGGACUGAGAUGCAUCGUACCGAUGUAGUCCCCGAGCUUGCUGGAAGGCGAAGUAUGAGCCUUGUAGCAAGGUCUAAAAAAUUGAAUUUACCAGUCCCCGAGCAUGUCAUGCUCGUCUGCAAUCGAAAAGACCAAUCGACCAGUCCCCAGGCACUUAGUGUGCUGCCUGGAAUUACAUGUUACUAUACUGUACGACCAGUCCCCGAGCAUCGAGUGCUCAGUGGUCGGUGCAUGCUUUAAAGCUUUGAGCUGAUAGACUGAGCGACCAGUCCCCGAGCGUCGAGUGCUCGGUGGUCGGUGAAGUCUUUGAAGUUCCGAGCUGAUAAACUGGGCGACCAGUCCCCGAGCGUCGAGUGCUCGGUGGUCGGUGCAGUCUUUGAAGUUCCGAGCUAAUAAACUGGGCGACCAGUCCCCGAGCGUCGAGUGCUCGGUGGUCGGUGCAGUCUUUGAAGUUCCGAGCUAAUAAACUGGGCGACCAGUCCCCGAGCGUCGAGUGCUCGGUGGUCGGUGCAGUCCCCGGAUUGCUGACUCACUGGCGUAUGUGUCUUCUUACUUUUGAAAAGGUCUUUCAAAUUUAAAGUUGACGUGACGGGGUCUCCUGACGAUAUGUCAGACGGAUGCAUGAAAAGCUGUGCCUGGCAACUGUACAACCGCUCUUUGCNNNNNNNNNNNNNNNNNNNNNNNNNNNNNNNNNNNNNNNNNNNNNNNNNNNNNNNNNNNNNNNNNNNNNNNNNNNNNNNNNNNNNNNNNNNNNNNNNNNNCGUUCUCCUCCCCUUUAUGCCCGCGCCUCCGUGUCCGUAAAGGGCAUAGCUCCUUCGACGGCGCCGCCGUAGGAACGCUGAGAAGAUAUGACAAAGGAACGGCCAAAAAUAAAAAGAAAGACCUUUCUUUUGAAAAAACAAACAAAAAAAAGGAAUGCAACACGAGGACUUCCCAGGAGGUCACCCAUCCUAGUACUACUCUCGCCCAAGCACGCUUAACUUCGGAGUUCUGAUGGGAUCCGGUGCUUUAGUGCUGGUAUGAUCGCAUCCGACAUACCGUGCGUUCUCCUCCCCUUUAUGCCCGCGCCUCCGUGUACGGCCGGCCCAUAGCUCCUUCGACGGCGCCGCCUAGGAACGCGGAGAAAAUAUGACAAAGGAAUUUUUUUAAAUAAAAAGAAAGACCUUUCUUUUGAAAAAACAAACGAAAAAAAGGAAUGCAACACGAGGACUUCCCAGGAGGUCACCCAUCCUAGUACUACUCUCGCCCAAGCACGCUUAACUUCGGAGUUCUGAUGGGAUCCGGUGCUUUAGUGCUGGUAUGAUCGCAUCCGACAUACCGUGCGUUCUCCUCCCCUUUAUGCCCGCGCCUCCGUGUACGGCCCGCCCAUAGCUCCUUCGACGGCGCCGCCUAAGAACGCGGAAAAAAUAUGACAAAGGAACGGCCAAAAAUAAAAAAAAAAAACCUUUCUUUUGAAAAAANNNNNNNNNNNNNNNNNNNNNNNNNNNNNNNNNNNNNNNNNNNNNNNNNNNNNNNNNNNNNNNNNNNNNNNNNNNNNNNNNNNNNNNNNNNNNNNNNNNNAAAAGGAAUGCAACACGAGGACUUCCCAGGAGGUCACCCAUCCUAGUACUACUCUCGCCCAAGCACGCUUAACUUCGGAGUUCUGAUGGGAUCCGGUGCUUUAGUGCUGGUAUGAUCGCAUCCGACAUACCGUGCGUUCUCCUCCCCUUUAUGCCCGCGCCUCCGUGUUACGGCCCGCCCAUAGCUCCUUCGACGGCGCCGCCUAGGAACGCGGAGAAAAUAUGACAAAGGAACGGCCAAAAAUCAAAAGAAAGACCUUUCUUUUGAAAAAACACACGCCUCCGUGUACGGCCCGCCCAUAGCUCCUUCGACGGCGCCGCCUAGGAACGCGGAGAAAAUAUGACAAAGGAACGGCCAAAAAUAAAAAGAAAGACCUUUCUUUUGAAAAAACAAACAAAUAAAAGGAAUGCAACACGAGGACUUCCCAGGAGGUCACCCAUCCUAGUACUACUCUCGCCCAAGCACGCUUAACUUCGGAGUUCUGAUGGGAUCCGGUGCUUUAGUGCUGGUAUGAUCGCAUCCGACAUACCGUGCGUUCUCCUCCCCUUUAUGCCCGCGCCUCCGUGUACGGCCCGCCCAUAGCUCCUUCGACGGCGCCGCCUAGGAACGCGGAGAAAAUAUGACAAAGGAACGGCCAAAAAUAAAAAGAAAGACCUUUCUUUUGAAAAAACAAACAAAUAAAAGGAAUGCAACACGAGGACUUCCCAGGAGGUCACCCAUCCUAGUACUACUCUCGCCCAAGCACGCUUAACUUCGGAGUUCUGAUGGGAUCCGGUGCUUUAGUGCUGGUAUGAUCGCAUCCGACAUACCGUGCGUUCUCCUCCCCUUUAUGCCCGCGCCUCCGUGUACGGCCCGCCCAUAGCUCCUUCGACGGCGCCGCCUAGGAACGCGGAGAAAAUAUGACAAAGGAACGGCCAAAAAUAAAAAGAAAGACCUUUCUUUUGAAAAAACAAACGCCUCCGUGUACGGCCCGCCCAUAGCUCCUUCGACGGCGCCGCCUAGGAACGCGGAGAAAAUAUGACAAAGGAACGGCCAAAAAUAAAAAGAAAGACCUUUCUUUUGAAAAAACAAACAAAAAAAAGGAAUGCAACACGAGGACUUCCCAGGAGGUCACCCAUCCUAGUACUACUCUCGCCCAAGCACGCUUAACUUCGGAGUUCUGAUGGGAUCCGGUGCUUUAGUGCUGGUAUGAUCGCAUCCGACAUACCGUGCGUUCUCCUCCCCUUUAUGCCCGCGCCUCCGUGUACGGCCCGCCCAUAGCUCCUUCGACGGCGCCGCCUAGGAACGCGGAGAAAAUAUGACAAAGGAACGGCCAAAAAUAAAAAGAAAGACCUUUCUUUUGAAAAAACAAACAAAUAAAAGGAAUGCAACACGAGGACUUCCCAGGAGGUCACCCAUCCUAGUACUACUCUCGCCCAAGCACGCUUAACUUCGGAGUUCUGAUGGGAUCCGGUGCUUUAGUGCUGGUAUGAUCGCAUCCGACAUACCGUGCGUUCUCCUCCCCUUUAUGCCCGCGCCUCCGUGUACGGCCCGCCCAUAGCUCCUUCGACGGCGCCGCCUAGGAACGCGGAGAAAAUAUGACAAAGGAACGGCCAAAAAUAAAAAGAAAGACCUUUCUUUUGAAAAAACAAACGCCUCCGUGUACGGCCCGCCCAUAGCUCCUUCGACGGCGCCGCCUAGGAACGCGGAGAAAAUAUGACAAAGGAACGGCCAAAAAUAAAAAGAAAGACCUUUCUUUUGAAAAAACAAACAAAAAAAAGGAAUGCAACACGAGGACUUCCCAGGAGGUCACCCAUCCUAGUACUACUCUCGCCCAAGCACGCUUAACUUCGGAGUUCUGAUGGGAUCCGGUGCUUUAGUGCUGGUAUGAUCGCAUCCGACAUACCGUGCGUUCUCCUCCCCUUUAUGCCCGCGCCUCCGUGUACGGCCCGCCCAUAGCUCCUUCGACGGCGCCGCCUAGGAACGCGGAGAAAAUAUGACAAAGGAACGGCCAAAAAUAAAAAGAAAGACCUUUCUUUUGAAAAAACAAACAAAUAAAAGGAAUGCAACACGAGGACUUCCCAGGAGGUCACCCAUCCUAGUACUACUCUCGCCCAAGCACGCUUAACUUCGGAGUUCUGAUGGGAUCCGGUGCUUUAGUGCUGGUAUGAUCGCAUCCGACAUACCGUGCGUUCUCCUCCCCUUUAUGCCCGCGCCUCCGUGUACGGCCCGCCCAUAGCUCCUUCGACGGCGCCGCCUAGGAACGCGGAGAAAAUAUGACAAAGGAACGGCCAAAAAUAAAAAGAAAGACCUUUCUUUUGAAAAAACAAACAAAAAAAAGGAAUGCAACACGAGGACUUCCCAGGAGGUCACCCAUCCUAGUACUACUCUCGCCCAAGCACGCUUAACUUCGGAGUUCUGAUGGGAUCCGGUGCUUUAGUGCUGGUAUGAUCGCAUCCGACAUACCGUGCGUUCUCCUCCCCUUUAUGCCCGCGCCUCCGGGUACGGUCCUCCCAUAGCUCCGUCAACGGCCCGCCUAGGAACGCGGAGAAAAUAUGACAAAGGAACGGCCAAAAAUAAAAAGAAAGCCCUUUCUUUUGAAAAGACAACCGAAUAAAAGGAAUGCCACGCGAGGACUUCCCAGGAGGUCACCCAUCAUAGUACUACUCUCGCCCAAGCACGCUUAACUUCGGAGUUCUGAUGGGAUCCGGUGCUUUAGUGCUGGUAUGAUCGCAUCCGACAUACCGCGCGUUCUCCUCCCCUUAAGGCCCGCGCCUCCGUGUACGGCCCGCCCAUAGCUCCUUAGACGGCACCUCCUAGGAACGCGGAGAAAAUAUGACAAAGGAACGGCCAAAAAUAAAAAGAAAGACCUUUCUUUUGAAAAAACAAACGCCUCCGUGUACGGCCCGCCCAUAGCUCCUUCGACGGCGCCGCCUAGGAACGCGGAGAAAAUAUGACAAAGGAACGGCCAAAAAUAAAAAGAAAGACCUUUCUUUUGAAAAAACAAACAAAAAAAAGGAAUGCAACACGAGGACUUCCCAGGAGGUCACCCAUCCUAGUACUACUCUCGCCCAAGCACGCUUAACUUCGGAGUUCUGAUGGGAUCCGGUGCUUUAGUGCUGGUAUGAUCGCAUCCGACAUACCGUGCGUUCUCCUCCCCUUUAUGCCCGCGCCUCCGUGUACGGCCCGCCCAUAGCUCCUUCGACGGCGCCGCCUAGGAACGCGGAGAAAAUAUGACAAAGGAACGGCCAAAAAUAAAAAGAAAGACCUUUCUUUUGAAAAAACAAACGCCUCCGCGUACGGCCCGCCCAUAGCUCCUUCGACGGCGCCGCCUAGGAACGCGGAGAAAAUAUGACAAAGGAACGGCCAAAAAUAAAAAGAAAGACCUUUCUUUUGAAAAAACAAACAAAAAAAAGGAAUGCAACACGAGGACUUCCCAGGAGGUCACCCAUCCUAGUACUACUCUCGCCCAAGCACGCUUAACUUCGGAGUUCUGAUGGGAUCCGGUGCUUUAGUGCUGGUAUGAUCGCAUCCGACAUACCGUGCGUUCUCCUCCCCUUUAUGCCCGCGCCUCCGUGUACGGCCCGCCCAUAGCUCCUUCGACGGCGCCGCCUAGGAACGCGGAGAAAAUAUGACAAAGGAACGGCCAAAAAUAAAAAGAAAGACCUUUCUUUUGAAAAAACAAACAAAUAAAAGGAAUGCAACACGAGGACUUCCCAGGAGGUCACCCAUCCUAGUACUACUCUCGCCCAAGCACGCUUAACUUCGGAGUUCUGAUGGGAUCCGGUGCUUUAGUGCUGGUAUGAUCGCAUCCGACAUACCGUGCGUUCUCCUCCCCUUUAUGCCCGCGCCUCCGUGUACGGCCCGCCCAUAGCUCCUUCGACGGCGCCGCCUAGGAACGCGGAGAAAAUAUGACAAAGGAACGGCCAAAAAUAAAAAGAAAGACCUUUCUUUUGAAAAAACAAACAAAUAAAAGGAAUGCAACACGAGGACUUCCCAGGAGGUCACCCAUCCUAGUACUACUCUCGCCCAAGCACGCUUAACUUCGGAGUUCUGAUGGGAUCCGGUGCUUUAGUGCUGGUAUGAUCGCAUCCGACAUACCGUGCGUUCUCCUCCCCUUUAUGCCCGCGCCUCCGUGUACGGCCCGCCCAUAGCUCCUUCGACGGCGCCGCCUAGGAACGCGGAGAAAAUAUGACAAAGGAACGGCCAAAAAUAAAAAGAAAGACCUUUCUUUUGAAAAAACAAACGCCUCCGUGUACGGCCCGCCCAUAGCUCCUUCGACGGCGCCGCCUAGGAACGCGGAGAAAAUAUGACAAAGGAACGGCCAAAAAUAAAAAGAAAGACCUUUCUUUUGAAAAAACAAACAAAAAAAAGGAAUGCAACACGAGGACUUCCCAGGAGGUCACCCAUCCUAGUACUACUCUCGCCCAAGCACGCUUAACUUCGGAGUUCUGAUGGGAUCCGGUGCUUUAGUGCUGGUAUGAUCGCAUCCGACAUACCGUGCGUUCUCCUCCCCUUUAUGCCCGCGCCUCCGUGUACGGCCCGCCCAUAGCUCCUUCGACGGCGCCGCCUAGGAACGCGGAGAAAAUAUGACAAAGGAACGGCCAAAAAUAAAAAGAAAGACCUUUCUUUUGAAAAAACAAACAAAUAAAAGGAAUGCAACACGAGGACUUCCCAGGAGGUCACCCAUCCUAGUACUACUCUCGCCCAAGCACGCUUAACUUCGGAGUUCUGAUGGGAUCCGGUGCUUUAGUGCUGGUAUGAUCGCAUCCGACAUACCGUGCGUUCUCCUCCCCUUUAUACCCGCGCCUCCGUGUACGGCCCGCCCAUAGCUCCUUCGACGGCGCCGCCUAGGAACGCGGAGAAAAUAUGACAAAGGAACGGCCAAAAAUAAAAAGAAAGACCUUUCUUUUGAAAAAACAAACAAAUAAAAGGAAUGCAACACGAGGACUUCCCAGGAGGUCACCCAUCCUAGUACUACUCUCGCCCAAGCACGCUUAACUUCGGAGUUCUGAUGGGAUCCGGUGCUUUAGUGCUGGUAUGAUCGCAUCCGACAUACCGUGCGUUCUCCUCCCCUUUAUGCCCGCGCCUCCGUGUACGGCCCGCCCAUAGCUCCUUCGACGGCGCCGCCUAGGAACGCGGAGAAAAUAUGACAAAGGAACGGCCAAAAAUAAAAAGAAAGACCUUUCUUUUGAAAAAACAAACGCCUCCGUGUACGGCCCGCCCAUAGCUCCUUCGACGGCGCCGCCUAGGAACGCGGAGAAAAUAUGACAAAGGAACGGCCAAAAAUAAAAAGAAAGACCUUUCUUUUGAAAAAACAAACAAAAAAAAGGAAUGCAACACGAGGACUUCCCAGGAGGUCACCCAUCCUAGUACUACUCUCGCCCAAGCACGCUUAACUUCGGAGUUCUGAUGGGAUCCGGUGCUUUAGUGCUGGUAUGAUCGCAUCCGACAUACCGUGCGUUCUCCUCCCCUUUAUACCCGCGCCUCCGUGUACGGCCCGCCCAUAGCUCCUUCGACGGCGCCGCCUAGGAACGCGGAGAAAAUAUGACAAAGGAACGGCCAAAAAUAAAAAGAAAGACCUUUCUUUUGAAAAAACAAGCAAAAAAAAGGAAUGCAACACGAGGACUUCCCAGGAGGUCACCCAUCCUAGUACUACUCUCGCCCAAGCACGCUUAACUUCGGAGUUCUGAUGGGAUCCGGUGCUUUAGUGCUGGUAUGAUCGCAUCCGACAUACCGUGCGUUCUCCUCCCCUUUAUGCCCGCGCCUCCGUGUACGGCCCGCCCAUAGCUCCUUCGACAGCGCCGCCUAGGAACGCGGAGAAAAUAUGACAAAGGAACGGCAAAAAAUAAAAAGAAAGACCUUUCUUUUGAAAAAACAAACAAAAAAAAGGAAUGCAACACGCGGACUUCCCAGGAGGUCACCCAUCCUAGUACUACUCUCGCCUAAGCACGCUUAACUUCGGAGUNNNNNNNNNNNNNNNNNNNNNNNNNNNNNNNNNNNNNNNNNNNNNNNNNNNNNNNNNNNNNNNNNNNNNNNNNNNNNNNNNNNNNNNNNNNNNNNNNNNNNNNNNNNNNNNNNNNNNNNNNNNNNNNNNNNNNNNNNNNNNNNNNNNNNNNNNNNNNNNNNNNNNNNNNNNNNNNNNNNNNNNNNNNNNNNNNNNNNNNNNNNNNNNNNNNNNNNNNNNNNNNNNNNNNNNNNNNNNNNNNNNNNNNNNNNNNNNNNNNNNNNNNNNNNNNNNNNNNNNNNNNNNNNNNNNNNNNNNNNNNNNNNNNNNNNNNNNNNNNNNNNNNNNNNNNNNNNNNNNNNNNNNNNNNNNNNNNNNNNNNNNNNNNNNNNNNNNNNNNNNNNNNNNNNNNNNNNNNNNNNNNNNNNNNNNNNNNNNNNNNNNNNNNNNNNNNNNNNNNNNNNNNNNNNNNNNNNNNNNNNNNNNNNNNNNNNNNNNNNNNNNNNNNNNNNNNNNNNNNNNNNNNNNNNNNNNNNNNNNNNNNNNNNNNNNNNNNNNNNNNNNNNNNNNNNNNNNNNNNNNNNNNNNNNNNNNNNNNNNNNNNNNNNNNNNNNNNNNNNNNNNNNNNNNNNNNNNNNNNNNNNNNNNNNNNNNNNNNNNNNNNNNNNNNNNNNNNNNNNNNNNNNNNNNNNNNNNNNNNNNNNNNNNNNNNNNNNNNNNNNNNNNNNNNNNNNNNNNNNNNNNNNNNNNNNNNNNNNNNNNNNNNNNNNNNNNNNNNNNNNNNNNNNNNNNNNNNNNNNNNNNNNNNNNNNNNNNNNNNNNNNNNNNNNNNNNNNNNNNNNNNNNNNNNNNNNNNNNNNNNNNNNNNNNNNNNNNNNNNNNNNNNNNNNNNNNNNNNNNNNNNNNNNNNNNNNNNNNNNNNNNNNNNNNNNNNNNNNNNNNNNNNNNNNNNNNNNNNNNNNNNNNNNNNNNNNNNNNNNNNNNNNNNNNNNNNNNNNNNNNNNNNNNNNNNNNNNNNNNNNNNNNNNNNNNNNNNNNNNNNNNNNNNNNNNNNNNNNNNNNNNNNNNNNNNNNNNNNNNNNNNNNNNNNNNNNNNNNNNNNNNNNNNNNNNNNNNNNNNNNNNNNNNNNNNNNNNNNNNNNNNNNNNNNNNNNNNNNNNNNNNNNNNNNNNNNNNNNNNNNNNNNNNNNNNNNNNNNNNNNNNNNNNNNNNNNNNNNNNNNNNNNNNNNNNNNNNNNNNNNNNNNNNNNNNNNNNNNNNNNNNNNNNNNNNNNNNNNNNNNNNNNNNNNNNNNNNNNNNNNNNNNNNNNNNNNNNNNNNNNNNNNNNNNNNNNNNNNNNNNNNNNNNNNNNNNNNNNNNNNNNNNNNNNNNNNNNNNNNNNNNNNNNNNNNNNNNNNNNCCUUCAUCCAUCUGUGCGAGGCCUAUGUUGGCAUAGAGCCGCACUUUGAUCUUUUCCGGUAUCUUUUCUGUCUGAGGAAGAAGGGAGCAGUUGGAGGCUCCAAGGUUGCAGGUGGAGUAUACCUCAACCUCCGUGAUGGGAUGAAGAAUCGCUACCUGCACUGCCCAUGGAACACCUCCUUGACCGAAUGGUACAGGAAGUGGUUCUACGUCAGGGAGGAACCGGGCAGCUCCACGUUCUGCGACGUGGGGUACGUUCCCGAGAAGAGGGCGAGCUGGACUGACCGCCCAGAGUUCGACGGUCAAGUGGCGGUUCUGAUGAAGCUGAUCGACUGGUCGCGCCUGGAUGGGCUCAGCGUGGUCGGCAACUUCAUUUGCCGCCGGGUGAUGCCCUGCCAGAAGAGGGUGCACUCGGCGUAUGAAUAUGCCGGAAGCACAGACCCGACCAGGAUGCGGUCGGAGAUCCUGGAGAAGGCGGAGGUACAACAGCUGCUGAACGAGCUGUUUAACUUCGCGGAUGGGGGCUUCACCCGUAGCAGUGAUCGGGUGCAAGCCUUCAAGUUAGGACGACCAGCACCAAAGGUAUGUAGCAGACUUCGUUUGAUCAUUCGUAUGUCGCCUGUAGUUGGCUCAUCUCUGUUACCUUUGCAGGUCGGUGAUGUCGACCGGUGCGUAGUGUACGUAUCACUGGCACCGGGGAUGGAAGAUCCUGUGGGAGAGGUCCCACCGGAGGAAGGCAGAGCCCGCCCCGUCCCGACCUCCGAGGAGAGGGUGGCGGGGAAAAGGCCAUUGCCGGUGGAUCCCCUGCCGACGCCGGAGCUGCCGGCAGACCUACCGGCGGAGAGCAGCCAAGCGCCGAAGCGUCGUCGGCUCGUGCGGAUCGUCGACGACGACGACGACGACGAGGAGGCUGCGCCGUCGUUGGUCCGACGGCCUCGGGGCCGCCCAGACGCUGCACCAGUCGCCACUGAUCGAGUGGCCAACGGCGCGGCUGCCCCGCAAGUUGCCGAGGUGGGGGCACAGGCGCCGACCGGCCGGGCGAGGAGGAGGUUCACCGCGACCCAUCGCCGGUCAGACCUGUAAGUGUUCAACUUACGUAUUUUGGACUCCCCCUUUUUUUUUUUUUUAAACUUUUGUUCCUGUAGUGCGGCAUCGGAUGUCGACCCUGGCCAAACUGCCGGCCAGGGAACGGGCGAGCCUGCCCGCGGUUCUCGGGAUGCGGCCCCCCAGACCACAGAACAGCCGACUGCUGCAGUCGCGCCUGGGAGCACCGAGGAGCUCCCGAGCGCGGCGCCGACUACAACAAGCAGCCCGACCAGGGCUGGGGAGGCUCCCCCAACUGACUCUUCGGAGAAGGGAAAGUCUCCGACCGCUCCUCCUGCCGGGGGGAGUGAAGUCCCCCCGCCGCCCCGAGCAGAAGCCUCUCCGGCUGCGGGCUCCCCAGGUCUGGUCCAAGGGACGUUGACGCCUGGGACCACCACCGGGGGUGACGCAGCCCAGGAGGAGGAAACCAGGGCGGCCUCCGACGACGAGGUAGAAGAGAUCGAGGGUCGUCCCCGUGAUGGCCGCCAACACGUGUAUGUGUGGCGCCAACGCGGGGAUCACUUUAUCGGUCAUGAGGAGCUUGCCGAGUCCGAAGAGGCCGCCAGGGUGGAGCGCGCGGCCAAGCGCCUUGUCGACGAAGUCAAGGUAAGCGUCGUUUUGAGCUGCCGCGCAUUCUUUUGCCUUGUCUUCUGCGCAUUGUUAUAUGCUUGCUUUGUAGGACGUUAUGAAAACGGCGAAGUACCGGAAACGGUGCUUUGACCAGAUAGAAGGCGUCAUGGCCGAGAACAAGGCCCUUGCCGCGGAGGUAGACCGGUUGCGGGCGGAGGUCGGAGAGAAGGUGGUCGAGAUGAGCACCGAGAAGGAGCGUCGUCUCGACCUCGCUCGUCGCCUGGCCGACCAGUACCGGCUGCAGGAAGGUUAGUCUCACGCUCCGAGCAGUUUCGCAGACUUGUAUAGUUUGCUUCGCUGACCAGUUUAGGAUUCACGCAGACUUGGAGGAGGAGGUGGCGAGCCUCCAACAAGAGAAGGAGCAGCUCGGCCAACAGCUCGCCAGUGCGCAGGAGUCCGGACGGCGAGCGGAAGAGGAAUUAAGUCGUAAAGACCGGGAGUUAGCUGGUAAUGGGUGCCGCCUUGUUGGUUGCUACCUGCCCCUUUGCUUGUUUGGUAUGCCGAAAGUAACGUUUCGUUUCGUUUGCAGUGCUCAAGGUGAACACCAAAAAGCACCUGGAUGAGCUGGUCAAGGACCGGGACUCCUGGAAGGUCAACUGUUGCAGGAUCUGGAAGGGAGUGUCCCCGGUCCUGGACCUGAUCAGUCCCGAGCUCCCGGAGAGCCAGCCCCGCGCGCCGCAGUUGACCCCGGUUCAAAAGGCGCAACGGGCGUGGGACUGGCUCCAGCAGUUUGUGAAGGACGCCGGGGAGUUUGCCGGCGCGCACGUCCUCAGCAUGGUACGCGCCCACUACCCCCUUGUCGACUUGAGCAGGCUGGAGAAGGGGUACCCGAAGGAAGUCGGCCCACAGGAAGCGGACGAACUUCGGGGUAGUCUGCUGGACUUGUCGUCGACAGUGAUCGGCGACAUCAACCUGUGCGGAACGGCCACUCCUCCAGACCAGCCGAGCUCAGAUAGGUCGGCCAGGGAGUUGUCGGGCGCGUCCUUUGCUGGAGAUGGGCGGUCGACGCCUGCGGUCUCGACCAGCCAGGCGCCGGUGGCCCCGACCCCUUCGUCCGGGCAGCAGGGCCAGGCGGGUGAUCAGCCCGAGCAGCUAGGCCAAUAAAGUAGUCUGUAGGAAUAGACUAGUAUCUGCCCGUCAGGGUAUUUAUUGUAAACUUUGUAUGUAAAGUUUGUAAUAAAGUUUUCUUUUUGUCAUGACUGUUGUUUUGAGCGCUGUAAAAAUAUCUGAGUGAUGUGUCAUCGUAUUUGUCUUGGUUGUCGCCAAGAGCAUCCAUUGCGGGAGUUUUGCCGAGUGCUGUGUAUGACAAGGUAUAGGCAAAAAAUAGAGAAUUAUAUUGUCACAAAUUAUAAGACACUUACAAAAGAAAGUCGCUAAAACUUUAUGGAUAGAAACGUCGCAGUUUGUCGAUGUGCCAAGAGUUAGGCACUCGUGUUCCGUCUGGGUAUGCCAAUCUGUAGGACGUAGGUCGUGUGACCUCGGUCACCACGAAGGGUCCUUCCCAGGGAGUAGAUAACUUGUGCAUUCCCUCCUGGCUUGUUUUCCAUCGAAGCACCAGAUCGCCGACCACGAAGGAACGGUCCUUGACGUUCCUGUUGUAGUAUCGCCUGACUGCCGUGAGAUAUUUUGCUGUUCGGAGACAUGAAACUAAACGCUUUUCCUCCAUGCAAUUGAUUUCGAGUUCUCUGGCGUUGUCGGCGGUCGACUGGUCGAAGUGCUCAAUUCUAGGGGAUCCGAAGUGUAUGUCGGACGGCAGAACCGCCUCUGCGCCGUACACCAUGAAAUAGGGAGACACCCCCGUGUUUCGACUGGUCUGAGUUCGAAGGCCCCAGACCACUGCCGGCAAUUCUUUCAUCCAUCGACCGGGUGCUCUGUCGUUCUCGGUGUACAAUCUUUUCUUUAGGGCGUCGACGAUCAUUCCAUUAGCACGUUCGACCUGACCGUUGGCACGUGGAUGUGCCACUGACACAUAUUUUAUGACUAUGCCUCUGUCAUCGCAGAAAUCCCAAAAGGUGGUGCCAGUAAACUGAGUGCCCAGGUCGGUGAUUAUGCUGUUCGGGAUGCCGAAUCUGUGUAUGAUUUGAUUGAGGAACUCCACAGCCUUCUCGGAAGUUGCCUUGACCAGGGGCAUGUAUUCAAUCCACUUGGAGAACUUGUCGAUUAACACGAAGACAAACUUGAAGUUGCCCGGGGCUGGUUUAAAUGGUCCGAUCAUGUCAAGCCCCCAGCAGGCAAAGGGCCAAGACGACGGGAUGGUUUGAAUUUCAUGGGCAGGUACGUGGGUCCUCUUAGCGAAAAACUGACAUCCUUCGCAACGCCGAACCAGUUUUUCUGCAUCGCUGACCGCGGUCGGCCAGUAAAAACCUGCUCGGAAAGCCUUUCCGACCAGCGUUCUAGAUGCGGCGUGGUUGCCGCAGGAUCCGGCGUGUAUGUCCUCCAAGAGCUUGAUACCAUCGUCUUGGGGUAUGCACUUGAGCAGUACCUCGGAGCUUGCGUUUUUCCGCAUGAGUUUUCCGUCGACCAGGAUGUAGUUCUUUGACCGUCGGAUGAGACGCUCGUUCUCUGUUUUGUCCUGAAAACCUGUCCCGUCUGAGAUGUAUUUGAUGAACGGGACACGCCAGUCGCGCCCGCCGGUUGUCGGAGUGGCGUCAUCUAUGAGCAUUGCCUCGUUGGGUUGCUUGUCGACCAGGGGGGAGCUUACGCUCGGCUCAUGGAUGUCCUGGACGAAAAUACCGCGCGGGAUUUGGGCCCGGGACGAGCCUAACUUUGACAACGCAUCUGCUGCUUGGUUCUUAUCCCGGACCACGUGGAUGUACUCUAUGCCAUAGAAGUUAGUUUCCCAUUUGCGAAUUUCUUUGCAGUAGAGAUCCAUCUUCUCGUGGGUUGCGUCCCACUCCUUGUUGAGCUGGUUGAUGACCAAAGCGGAGUCCCCGUAGACAUAGAGGCGCUUAACCCCCAGCUCAACGGCUAGUCGUACGCCAUGUAAGCAAGCUUCAUAUUCGGCGACAUUGUUUGACGCCGGGAAAAGGAUCCGAAGGACGUAGCGGAGUUUGUCCUUGUUUGGUGAUACGAACAAUAUCCCAGCGCCUGCACCGUUGAUGUUCAAGGACCCAUCAAAGAACAUUGACCAGUGGUCUGAGACAUCGGGAACGGACGGUUCGUUGAGAUCCGUCCAUUCGGCAAUGAAAUCGACCAGGGCUUGGGACUUGACAGUGGUGCGACUCUGAAACUCCAGGGAAAAUGGACAUAAUUCCAUUGCCCAUUUCACGAUUCUGCCAUUGGCGUCUUUAUUGCGCAGGAUGUCACCGAGGGGAAAGCUGGUUGUCACCAGGACUCGAUGGCCGUCGAAGUAGUGCUUCAGUUUUCUUGACGUUAUCAGGAUGGCGUAUAUAAGCUUCUGUAUUUGUGGGUACCUGGCCUUGGAUUCGUUUAAAACUUCGCUUAUGAAGUAAACGGGCCUCUGGACCUUGAAGACGUGACCUGGUUCAUCUCGCUCGACCACUAUUGCCGUGGAAACAACUCUGUCGGUUGCAGCAAUGUAAAGGAGCAGGUCUUCGUUGGGCUGAGGCGCUGUGAGAACAGGCGGUGAAGUGAGGAAGGUCUUAAGCUGAGUGAACGCAGCGUCGGCGUCUUCUAUCCAGGAGAAUUUUUCUGACGCUUUCAAUAGUUUGAAAAAGGGGAGGCCUUUUUCUCCCAGCCUUGAGAUGAAACGACUGAGAGCGGCCAUGCAUCCGGUUAGCUUCUGAAUAUCCUUGACGUUCUUCGGUGGUCGCAUGUCGAGUACGGCUUUGACUUUUGAAGGGUUUGGCCGUAUGCCGUCGCAACUGACGACGUUGCCGAGCAGUAGACCGGAAGGAACGCCGAAAAUGCAUUUCUUGGGGUUGAGCUUCCACUUGUACCUAUUGAGUGCCUUGAAGGUUCGGUCUAAGUUGUCGAUUAGGGUGCUCGCAUCCCUUGUUUUUACGACCACGUCGUCCACAUAGGCCUCGACGAGGUCGUCGCGAAUCUCGUCGUGGAGGCAUUGCUGGAUGGCCCUUUGAUAAGUGGCCCCGGCGUUUUUAAGUCCGAAAGACAUGGUAGUGUAACAGUAUGCGCCGAAAGGUGUGAUGAAGGAUGUUUUGAUCUGAUCUUCUUCUUUUAACGAGAUCUGGUGAUAACCAGAGUAGCAAUCUAGAAAGGAGAGGAGUUCGCAUCCGGCCGUUGAGUCGACCACCUCGUCGAUGCGAGGAAGACCAAAAGGAUCUUUAGGACAGUGUUUGUUGAGAUCGGUGUAAUCAACGCACAUUCUCCAUUCAUUAUUCUUUUUGCGUACAAGAACCGGAUUGGCGAGCCAAUCGGGAUGAUACACCUCUUUUAUGAAUCCGGCUGCUAGAAGCCGUGUUAUUUCUGUCCUAAUAGCCUCCUUUUUGUCACGAGCGAACCGUCGCAGUUUUUGCUUGAUUGGUCUUGCGGUCUUCGAGACGUUUAAGGAGUGCUCGAUCAGGUUCCGUGGGACGCCGGGCAUGUCUGCGGGUUUCCAUGCGAAAACGCUCACGUUGUCCCUUAGAAACCUGACGAGCGCGUCUUCCUAUUUUGGAUCCAGGUUAGCCCCGAUGAGGGCUGUCUUCUCGGGGUUGCCCUCGACCAGCUGCACUUCUUUGUACUCCUUGGAUUUCGAAUUCUUUCUGGCUGUCUCCUGCUCAGGUAAUCGGAGCUGGUCGGGGGGCAGCUGUGCGGCUUGGUUUGCUGUUUCCGCCAUGCGGAUUGAGAGGUCAAUUGCCUCGGUGAUCUUGAAACUUUCUUCUUCGCAGGUGUACGCAGUGUAGACGUUGCCUCUGACGGUCAGGACACCCUUCUCCGUGGGCAUCUUAAGCACUAGGUACGAGUAGUGCGGGACUGCCAUGAACUUUGUCAGCGAUGGGCGGCCCAGUAUGGCGUGGUAGGUCCCGUCGAAGUCCGCGACUACGAAGUUGAUGAACUCCGUCCGGAAGUGAUCGGGUGUGCCGAAUUGGACAGGCAAUGUUAUCUGUCCGAGGGGCACCGAACUUUGACCUGGCAAAACCCCCCAGAAUUGGGCGUCGUAAGGUUUUAGUUGGGCCGGUGAUAUCUUGAGGGCGGGCAGGCUGUUGCGGAAGAGGAUGUCAAUGGAGCUUCCCCCGUCCACGAGCACGCGCUCGAAUCUGAUGCUGUUGAUGCAAGGAUCGAGAAUUAGUGGGAAACGACCCGGCUCCGGGAUAGCGGCCCACUGGUCCUUCCUGCUGAACGCGAUCUCCCUAUGGGACCAGGCGGGAAAUUUCAGAUCUGCGAUCAGCCCGUCCGUGCUGUCUAUGUUGAGGCAGGCUCUCUUCAACAGCUUUCUUUCUCGCUUGGACUCAGUGGAGACCUUGCCCCCGAAAAUGGAGUGGACCACGUCGGUGGGGCUGACGUAUUGGUGUCGGGGGUCCCUGUCUUGGUCCUCGUCCUCAUCUUCGUGGUCGUGCCCGUCGCGUUUGUUACUUUUCUUGGCGGUGUCUUCUUGGGCGGCCCGCCGUGUAUAGAUAUUUUUGAGGACGCGGCACUCUUCCAUGGUAUGGUUAGACUUUGGAUGUAGCUGGCACGGUCCCUUCAACGUUUUGUUGUAGUCGUCUUGGUAGUCCCGUCGUCCAUUGGGACGUUUGACCGUGUUUACUUCGUGGUCGUAUUCGCGAGGGCGCUUUCCUCUGAAGUCGUCGCGGCUGUCGCGCCGCCGAUCCCAACCCUCUCGGUGAUCGCGGUUGUCGGAGCGACGGUGAUUUCUGUUGUCGUAGCGGCCGCGACCGUCGUCUCGCCGGGAGGGCUGGUCGGUGCCUCUCGCAUCGUCUCGGAUUAGUUUUUCUGCGUCAUCAGCAUCGGCAUAAUUUUUAGCCGUGGCGAGGAGCUCUGCUACUGUUGAUGGACGUUUACGCAACAGCUUGUUCCUCAGCGCUUCAUGGAAACGUAAGCCCUUGAUAAAGGCUGAUAUGGCCUCGUCAUGAGAAAUCUUCGGGAUUUUGAGACGCAUAUCCGAGAAUCGUCGGAUGUAAUCACGCAGAGGUUCAUUCUUCCUGUCUCUUAUCCUUUCAAGGUCAUACUUGUUUCCGGGCUGUUCGCAUGUGGCGAUGAAGUUGUCAAUGAAAGCCUGUCGUAGUUCUUCCCAAGAGUCGAAGGAGUCCUCGGGCAAGCCGAGAAGCCACUGAUGACCAGCCUGGUCGAGGACUACGGGGAAGUAGUUAGCCAUGACGUGCUCAUCUCCUGCCGCUGAUCGGACGGCGAUUUCGUAGAGGGUGAUCCAGUUCUCUGGAUUUUCCUUGCCGUCGUAUUUUUUAAGUUUUUCGAGCUUGAAAUUUCUGGGCCACACGACCUGGCGGAGGUGUGAGGAGAACUGCCUUAGGCCCGGGGGACCAUGGGUCGCAUCGUACUCGAUGCGGCGUAGGUUUUCGUGGACUGCUCUCUCUGCGGCGCGCCUGUUGAUGCGGUCCCGGGCAUCUUUGGGAGGGAUGUUGUGGCGGAGAUCCCUGUGUUGAUCUUCUUCUUCCUGGCCGCGUACGCGGUUCUGCUGGCGGCGGCCAUCGGCGUCUCGACCACCAUCGUCGCGCCGUGAGUCCCCUCGACGGUUGUCGGGGGAGCGCCUGCGGCGACGCCUGCUGGGCGAGGCCCGGCUACGAUGAGUCUGGUCGGAGGCGGCUUCCGUAUAAGGGACGUCCUGGACUCUCUUAAGCAGAGUUGCUGUCUGUCCCAUCGCGGCGAUCAGGUGUGCUCGGAUACUGGUCCGGACCCCCUGGCAUUCUGGUGUGUCAGGAAGCCGAUCCAGGUUGGCCAUGGCAACAGCCACGUUGGCGCUUGGCGUUUUGUAGACCGGCUGGUCCCCGACCAUGUCAAAGGCAUCGUUGAGGUUACCCGGUGGCGUCUGUUGUUGCUCGUCCGCACGCCGUCGGGCGCGAUCGGCGUUACGCUGUUCGCGGAGUUGCCUCUGGUCGUCUGUUUCUCCGUCAACAACCGGUUCGUCGGCGCUGACAUUGAAUACAAUAUCCCCUCGCCGGGGGGGGGGAAUAUCGGGAACCGGUCGAAACCCGGAGGGUGUGAAGGGAAAUCCAGGUCGUAGCCCUCGUCUUCGGUGUUUAUAACCUCGGUGGGGACGGAGCCGGUGCUUGAGUUGGUGCUGGAAACCUGGCCGUUCCGUAGCUCUCGGAUUGUCACCAUGUUGACAUGGUGACGAUUGUUCCUUGUCGGCGACCAGCCCGCUUUGCUGAAAACGGAUUGAACAUGCUGUGAGUAGACAGAGGCCGAGUUAUUCAGGCCGCAAGGAUGGUCUCCCUUUUUGAGCUCGACGGAUCGGCCUGAGGAGGUUGAGGUUAUCGCCAGGGACGUUCCCAGCCGUUCGUGUGUGGUGACACGAGUUGGCCGGCGGGAUUUCGAAAAAUCCGCUUGAGUGGCUUGGUCGGGCCGGCGCAGAAUUCCAUCUAUUAGUUGGGAGACUUCGAGCAGCUUGGAGUCGGCGCGAUCGAGCGCUUGGAGGAGGUCCGAGCAGUCGAUCUCCUUUCCCUUGUAGAGUGGGAACGGUGGCCGGGAGUUUGGUGCCGUCAUGCGUGUGGUCGGAGACGGCGUGAUCUCAGAUUGGAUCUGGAUCUCUUUCGGGACCGUGGUCGGGAAGCCGCCGCUGCACGUCGUCCACGUGAUCUGGCCGACGGUAAACGUGAGGCCUUCGGGCACGGUCGCGGAAGCUGGGAUCGUGACCAUCUUGUUCGCCGGAAAAGUUGCACGCACACCCCCUACCUGGCGCGCCACUGUCGACGAAAGCUGGUCGGCAGUCUACCUUGGGGUAUACCCACGGUAGUAGUUUAUCGGUAGACGGUGCGCAAACUACGAACUCGAUGGUGACGCAAGACACGGACAAGCUUUUUAUCCAGGUUCGGCCGCCGAGUUGGCGUAAUACCUACGUCCUGCGUCUGGUUGUAUUGGAUUGUGUUUAGAGAUAAUCUACCCUAGGGGGUCCCCUUGCCCCUCCUUAUAUAGUCUGGAGGGCAGGGUUACAGAUCUAGAAACUAAUCCUAGCCGGUUACAAUUGCCAUAGAUAAUUCGAUAUCAAUUCCUAUUCUAACCGACUAGAAUCCUGCUUGAUCUCCACGUCCUGUUUCCUUGCGCGAAACUCGGGCUAUCGGAUCAAGCCUUGAACUCGUCUCGUAGUGGGCCAAGCUUCCUAGCUGAAGUCUAGCCGUAAGGGUAUAGGGGUUUAUACCCCCACACCGUGCGUUCUCCUCCCCUUUAUGCCCGCGCCUCCGUGUACGGCCCGCCCAUAGCUCCUUCGACGGCGCCGCCUAGGAACGCGGAGAAAAUAUGACAAAGGAACGGCCAAAAAUAAAAAGAAAGACCUUUCUUUUGAAAAAACAAACAAAUAAAAGGAAUGCAACACGAGGACUUCCCAGGAGGUCACCCAUCCUAGUACUACUCUCGCCCAAGCACGCUUAACUUCGGAGUUCUGAUGGGAUCCGGUGCUUUAGUGCUGGUAUGAUCGCAUCCGACAUACCGUGCGUUCUCCUCCCCUUUAUGCCCGCGCCUCCGUGUACGGCCCGCCCAUAGCUCCUUCGACGGCGCCGCCUAGGAACGCGGAGAAAAUAUGACAAAGGAACGGCCAAAAAUAAAAAGAAAGACCUUUCUUUUGAAAAAACAAACAAAAAAAAGGAAUGCAACACGAGGACUUCCCAGGAGGUCACCCAUCCUAGUACUACUCUCGCCCAAGCACGCUUAACUUCGGAGUUCUGAUGGGAUCCGGUGCUUUAGUGCUGGUAUGAUCGCAUCCGACAUACCGUGCGUUCUCCUCCCCUUUAUGCCCGCGCCUCCGUGUACGGCCCGCCCAUAGCUCUUUCGACGGCGCCGCCUAGGAACGCGGAGAAAAUAUGACAAAGGAACGGCCAAAAAUAAAAGAAAGACCUUUCUUUUGAAAAAACAAACGCCUCCGUGUACGGCCCGCCCAUAGCUCCUCCGACGGCCCCGCCUAGGAACGCGAAGAAAAUAUGACAAAGGAACGCCCAAAAAUAAAAAGAAAGACCUUUCUUUUGAAAAAACAAACAUUAAAAAGGAAUGCAACACGAGGACUUCCCAGGAGGUCACCAAUCCUAGUACUACUCUCGCCCAAGCACGCUUAACUUCGAAGUUCUGAUGGGAUCCGGUGCUUUAGUGCUGGUAUGAUCGCAUCCGACAUACCGUGCGUUCUCCUCCCCUUUAUGCCCGCGCCUCCGUGUACGGCCCGCCCAUAGCUCCUUCGACGGCGCCGCCUAGGAACGCGGAGAAAAUAUGACAAAGGAACGGCCAAAAAUAAAAAGAAAGACCUUUCUUUUGAAAAAACAAACAAAAAAAAGGAAUGCAACACGAGGACUUCCCAGGAGGUCACCCAUCCUAGUACUACUCUCGCCCAAGCACGCUUAACUUCGGAGUUCUGAUGGGAUCCGGUGCUUUAGUGCUGGUAUGAUCGCAUCCGACAUACCGUGCGUUCUCCUCCCCUUUAUGCCCGCGCCUCCGUGUACGGCCCGCCCAUAGCUCCUUCGACGGCGCCGCCUAGGAACGCGGAGAAAAUAUGACAAAGGAACGGCCAAAAAUAAAAAGAAAGACCUUUCUUUUGAAAAAACAAACAAAAAAAAGGAAUGCAACACGAGGACUUCCCAGGAGGUCACCCAUCCUAGUACUACUCUCGCCCAAGCACGCUUAACUUCGGAGUUCUGAUGGGAUCCGGUGCUUUAGUGCUGGUAUGAUCGCAUCCGACAUACCGUGCGUUCUCCUCCCCUUUAUGCCCGCGCCUCCGUGUACGGCCCGCCCAUAGCUCCUUCGACGGCGCCGCCUAGGAACGCGGAGAAAAUAUGACAAAGGAACGGCCAAAAAUAAAAAGAAAGACCUUUCUUUUGAAAAAAAAAACAAAAAAAAGGAAUGCAACACGAGGACUUCCCAGGAGGUCACCCAUCCUAGUACUACUCUCGCCCAAGCACGCUUAACUUCGGAGUUCUGAUGGGAUCCGGUGCUUUAUUGCUGGUAUGAUCGCAUCCGACAUACCGUGCGUUCUCCUCCCCUUUAUGCCCGCACCUCCGUGUACGGCCCGCCCAUAGCUCCUUCGACGGCGCCGCCUAGGAACGCGGAGAAAAUAUGACAAAGGAACGGCCAAAAAUAAAAAGAAAGACCUUUCUUUUGAAAAAACAAACAAAAAAAAGGAAUGCAACACGAGGACUUCCCAGGAGGUCACCCAUCCUAGUACUACUCUCGCCCAAGCACGCUUAACUUCGGAGUUCUGAUGGGAUCCGGUGCUUUAGUGCUGGUAUGAUCGCAUCCGACAUACCGUGCGUUCUCCUCCCCUUUAUGCCCGCGCCUCCGUGUACGGCCCGCCCAUAGCUCCUUCGACGGCGCCGCCUAGGAACGCGGAGAAAAUAUGACAAAGGAACGGCCAAAAAUAAAAAGAAAGACCUUUCUUUUGAAAAAACAAACAAAUAAAAGGAAUGCAACACGAGGACUUCCCAGGAGGUCACCCAUCCUAGUACUACUCUCGCCCAAGCACGCUUAACUUCGAAGUUCUGAUGGGAUCCGGUGCUUUAGUGCUGGUAUGAUCGUAUCCGACAUACCGUGCGUUCUCCUCCCCUGAAUGCCCGCGCCUCCGUGUACGGCCCGCCCAGAGCUCUUUAGAUGGGACUUCCGAUGGAAUCGGAGACAAUAGGACAAAGGAACGGCCAAAAAUAAAAAGAAAGACCUUUCUUCCGAAAAAACAAACGCCUCCGUGUACGGCCCGCCCAUAGCUCCUUCGACGGCGCCGCCUAGGAACGCGGAGAAAAUAUGACAAAGGAACGGCCAAAAAUAAAAAGAAAGACCUUUCUUUUGAAAAAACAAACAAAAAAAAGGAAUGCAACACGAGGACUUCCCAGGAGGUCACCCAUCCUAGUACUACUCUCGCCCAAGCACGCUUAACUUCGGAGUUCUGAUGGGAUCCGGUGCUUUAGUGCUGGUAUGAUCGCAUCCGACAUACCGUGCGUUCUCCUCCCCUUUAUGCCCGCGCCUCCGUGUACGGCCCGCCCAUAGCUCCUUCGACGGCGCCGCCUAGGAACGCGGAGAAAAUAUGACAAAGGAACGGCCAAAAAUAAAAAGAAAGACCUUUCUUUUGAAAAAACAAACGCCUCCGUGUACGGCCCGCCCAUAGCUCCUUCGACGGCGCCGCCUAGGAACGCGGAGAAAAUAUGACAAAGGAACGGCCAAAAAUAAAAAGAAAGACCUUUCUUUUGAAAAAACAAACAAAAAAAAGGAAUGCAACACGAGGACUUCCCAGGAGGUCACCCAUCCUAGUACUACUCUCGCCCAAGCACGCUUAACUUCGGAGUUCUGAUGGGAUCCGGUGCUUUAGUGCUGGUAUGAUCGCAUCCGACAUACCGUGCGUUCUCCUCCCCUUUAUGCCCGCGCCUCCGUGUACGGCCCGCCCAUAGCUCCUUCGACGGCGCCGCCUAGGAACGCGGAGAAAAUAUGACAAAGGAACGGCCAAAAAUAAAAAGAAAGACCUUUCUUUUGAAAAAACAAACAAAAAAAAGGAAUGCAACACGAGGACUUCCCAGGAGGUCACCCAUCCUAGUACUACUCUCGCCCAAGCACGCUUAACUUCGGAGUUCUGAUGGGAUCCGGUGCUUUAGUGCUGGUAUGAUCGCAUCCGACAUACCGUGCGUUCUCCUCCCCUUUAUGCCCGCGCCUCCGUGUACGGCCCGCCCAUAGCUCCUUCGACGGCGCCGCCUAGGAACGCGGAGAAAAUAUGACAAAGGAACGGCCAAAAAUAAAAAGAAAGACCUUUCUUUUGAAAAAACAAACAAAUAAAAGGAAUGCAACACGAGGACUUCCCAGGAGGUCACCCAUCCUAGUACUACUCUCGCCCAAGCACGCUUAACUUCGGAGUUCUGAUGGGAUCCGGUGCUUUAGUGCUGGUAUGAUCGCAUCCGACAUACCGUGCGUUCUCCUCCCCUUUAUGCCCGCGCCUCCGUGUACGGCCCGCCCAUAGCUCCUUCGACGGCGCCGCCUAGGAACGCGGAGAAAAUAUGACAAAGGAACGGCCAAAAAUAAAAAGAAAGACCUUUCUUUUGAAAAAACAAACAAAUAAAAGGAAUGCAACACGAGGACUUCCCAGGAGGUCACCCAUCCUAGUACUACUCUCGCCCAAGCACGCUUAACUUCGGAGCUCUGAUGGGAUCCGGUGCUUUAGUGCUGGUAUGAUCGCAUCCGACAUACCGUGCGUUCUCCUCCCCUUUAUGCCCGCGCCUCCGUGUACGGCCCGCCCAUAGCUCCUUCGACGGCGCCGCCUAGGAACGCGGAGAAAAUAUGACAAAGGAACGGCCAAAAAUAAAAAGAAAGACCUUUCUUUUGAAAAAACAAACAAAAAAAAGGAAUGCAACACGAGGACUUCCCAGGAGGUCACCCAUCCUAGUACUACUCUCGCCCAAGCACGCUUAACUUCGGAGUUCUGAUGGGAUCCGGUGCUUUAGUGCUGGUAUGAUCGCAUCCGACAUACCGUGCGUUCUCCUCCCCUUUAUGCCCGCGCCUCCGUGUACGGCCCGCCCAUAGCUCCUUCGACGGCGCCGCCUAGGAACGCGGAGAAAAUAUGACAAAGGAACGGCCAAAAAUAAAAAGAAAGACCUUUCUUUUGAAAAAACAAACAAAAAAAAGGAAUGCAACACGAGGACUUCCCAGGAGGUCACCCAUCCUAGUACUACUCUCGCCCAAGCACGCUUAACUUCGGAGUUCUGAUGGGAUCCGGUGCUUUAGUGCUGGUAUGAUCACAUCCGACAUACCGUGCGUUCUCCUCCCCUUUAUGCCCGCGCCUCCGUGUACGGCCCGCCCAUAGCUCCUUCGACGGCGCCGCCUAGGAACGCGGAGAAAAUAUGACAAAGGAACGGCCAAAAAUAAAAAGAAAGACCUUUCUUUUGAAAAAACAAACAAAAAAAAGGAAUGCAACACGAGGACUUCCCAGGAGGUCACCCAUUCUAGUACUACUCUCGCCCAAGCAAGCUUAACUUCGGAGUUCUGAUGGGAUCCGGUGCUUUAGUGCUGGUAUGAUCGCAUCCGACAUACCGUGCGUUCUCCUCCCCUUUAUGCCCGCGCCUCCGUGUACGGCCCGCCCAUAGCUCCUUCGACGGCGCCGCCUAGGAACGCGGAGAAAAUAUGACAAAGGAACGGCCAAAAAUAAAAAGAAAGACCUUUCUUUUGAAAAAACAAACAAAAAAAAGGAAUGCAACACGAGGACUUCCCAAAAUAUGACAAAGGAACGGCCAAAAAUAAAAAGAAAGACCUUUCUUUUGAAAAAACAAACAAAAAAAAGGAAUGCAACACGAGGACUUCCCAGGAGGUCACCCAUUCUAGUACUACUCUCGCCCAAGCAAGCUUAACUUCGGAGUUCUGAUGGGAUCCGGUGCUUUAGUGCUCGUAUGAUCGCAUCCGACAUACCGUGCGUUCUCCUCCCCUUUAUGCCCGCGCCUCCGUGUACGGCCCGCCCAUAGCUCCUUCGACGGCGCCGCCUAUGAACGCGGAGAAAAUAUGACAAAGGAACGGCCAAAAAUAAAAAGAAAGACCUUUCUUUUGAAAAAACAAACAAAAAAAAGGAAUGCAACACGAGGACUUCCCAGGAGGUCACCCAUCCUAGUACUACUCUCGCCCAAGCACGCUUAACUUCGGAGUUCUGAUGGGAUCCGGUGCUUUAGUGCUGGUAUGAUCGCAUCCGACAUACCGUGCGUUCUCCUCCCCUUUAUGCCCGCGCCUCCGUGUACGGCCCGCCCAUAGCUCCUUCGACGGCGCCGCCUAGGAACGCGGAGAAAAUAUGACAAAGGAACGGCCAAAAAUAAAAAGAAAGACCUUUCUUUUGAAAAAACAAACAAAAAAAAGGAAUGCAACACGAGGACUUCCCAGGAGGUCACCCAUCCUAGUACUACUCUCGCCCAAGCACGCUUAACUUCGGAGUUCUGAUGGGAUCCGGUGCUUUAGUGCUGGUAUGAUCGCAUCCGACAUACCGUGCGUUCUCCUCCCCUUUAUGCCCGCGCCUCCGUGUACGGCCCGCCCAUAGCUCCUUCGACGGCGCCGCCUAGGAACGCGGAGAAAAUAUGACAAAGGAACGGCCAAAAAUAACAAGAAAGACCUUUCUUUUGAAAAAACAAACAAAAAAAAGGAAUGCAACACGAGGACUUCCCAGGAGGUCACCAAUCCUAGUACUACUCUCGCCCAAGCACGCUUAACUUCGGAGUUCUGAUGGGAUCCGGUGCUUUAGUGCUGGUAUGAUCGCAUCCGACAUACCGUGCGUUCUCCUCCCCUUUAUGCCCGCGCCUC
rnacentral:lncRNA from 1 species